AAAUAAUCGGGGCUGCCAGGGACGUGGGUCGGGGAACCUGGAGUGUCGCGGGGUGCCUGUGCCUCCGAGCCCCACUGGCCCCUGCGCCCCGAGACGCACUGGCUUUCUUCUUCCGCUGGCCCCGCGGCGUCAGGACAGAGGAUGACCGAACCAUAAAACCUUGCACCAUUGGGUUCAGCCUUUGGCCUCUCCUUUCCCGCUAAAUUUCUCUUUGAAUCCGGCUGGAGAAAGAUCUUUGGGUUUCACAGGUCUUAAAGAGAGGAAGAGUUUGUAAUAUUCUUCAGGGGAAGCCUUUUGAGAUUGAAAUACCAUACUUUGAAUGAUAACUCUAUAUCUAUCUAUAAUAUACUAUGGUUUAAUGUUUGGAAAUCAAACACAGUAUUUAUUUUUCAUGUGAACUACUAAAAGUAAAUCUGCAUGGACUUCUUGCCUGGUGAGUUACACAGAAAAUGAAAGUGAUUAUCAGUGGCUGUGGCAAGACGAAAGGAACCAUGCCAGAACUUCUGAGGGAAGGAAGAGUGUUUGGAACUGAAAAAUCCUUGUCUGGAUCUAGUCCUCAGCCACUCAGAAGCCGGCAUGCCAUGACUCAAAGAGCUGCCCAUCUGGAAUGAAGACAGUGACCCGUAACUCCCACCUGAAGAGCAGGUGCUUGGAAAACGCCGCCAGUCCGCAGGAAAAAGUUGUUACUGCUGCUGUCUGUGACCAAGAGGACACUUUAUUUCUUGAAACAACUGGGGGCAAACUGGCUCCCAGAUAAGGCUUCAGUCCCUACUCAUGUGAGGAAACCAGCCCUGGUAGGUUCCAUGCACAAGAAUACAGGACAAGGAGCAGCUUUGUUCACCUCAUGCAACCUCCAGGGAUUUCAGCUUCCUUUUCUUGGAGCAAGAAAGUGAAGCGACGUGGGGAGUCACUAGGAACAAUGUCUGUCUUACUGUGUUUCAUGGAAACUGGAGGUUCCUUAGAGAUCCCUCAGAAGCAGACCUAGUGGUCAGAGUAAAAGCUGAGGAGUAAGCUGUGCCUCUCCCUCCCCAGGCCCCAUCCCAACCACAGAAGUUCCACCUGCAUCAGUUUUAUAUACCAGACUAUUGCAUGAAAUUACAUUUUGACAGAUGAUUAUUCUUAAAAAAUAUGUAAAAACCAACAAACUAGGCCAUAUCAAGUCCUGGUCCCUUCUCCAUUAGUGCAGUAAACAAUUCCACCAAGGAAAAUAUAGGUGUGAAAGUGCUUUGCAAACUGUAGAAGGGCAUGCAAAUUCUAGGGGCUGUAAUUAGGAUUAUUCUCCCCAGAAGCGGGGAUUAUUUUGUUUGCUUGCUUCCCGAUAGUUUGGUGAGGGACUGAGGUCAUUUGCCCCCAUACCACAAAUGACUCAUUUCAAAUAACAGACCUGGUGACUUACUGAGUCAAAGUCCACCUUUGGGAAUUCCUGGAUCACCUCUUUGAGCUCCCCUCUCAUCCACUUUCCAUUCCAAAGACACCCUGCCCACCCCACUGGUCACACAAACACUUCCCAAACUCUUAGAUGCUUGAUAUCUAUUGUGUGUUGCACCAUCUUUCUUUCUAAGCCAAACCAUGGGAUGUGGGAAACUGGAAAGGAAACUUGAAUUGAUUUGAGUUGACACGAGAUCACACUAUUUGGGAAGAAUCCAGAAUUCAAUCAGCAGCCUUGGACCGAGAAAGUCCAGGUCUGAGCAUUGGCUUUCCCCCUUAUCAGAGGAUGACUUAACCUCUGGGAGUUUCGGUAAUCCCAGCCACAAAACAAGGGUAAUCAGACCUUUCCCAUAGUUUAUUAUGAGUAGUCAGUGAAAGAAGACAUCAAGACCAUUUCCUGGUGUGCCUGCCUCAUGGUGGGACUCAAUGACCUCUAAGCUACCUGAGAACAGGGACAUGUCCUUCUGGGGCGCCAGCACAUACUCAGCUCUCAGUCCCUAACAUAUACACUGUGCUCCAUAAAUAAGCAUUACAUAAAUGUAUGAGGGACUGUUAUUUUUUUUCCCUCCCAUCAAAGCGCAUAGGGGUGUUUCAGGAAUCACAUGAACUGGUGGGAGGAAACACAUAGACAACUUGACAGUUUCUAAAUAAAUGCAAGCAGUGACAUCCUAUUUGGGGUGACUGGUUCAGGGAGACUUGAGUGCAGACAGAGCAUUACUCACUCUGGCAGACUAGGGUUCUUUGCUGGAAUAUUGGGGCCUGAUGGCUUCUGACUGGUAGUAAUAAAUCCUGUUCCUCUCGCGCAAAGAAAAGCCAAAUCUAAACAAAAUGUGAGCAGGAGUGUGAAAUGCAAAGCUGGGAGAUCUUGGGCUGAAUCAUGGAAUUCAAGGAUUACAAAUGCAGCAGAUCACAGACUCUUUUAAAGGGACAACAUUUAAUUAUUUCACGGGACUGCUUCCCAGAAAAGGAAUGAUCUGGCACAGUAAAGAAAAAGUAACAUUCCAGUUAAACCUUAACUCUUAAAAAAAUUAAUCCUUACUUCAUAUUCACAGUGUGAAUUCUACACAUAUAAAUGAACAGUGGUGAAAAAAGCUCUUGCAAAAUAAUUAUUAGUAAAGUCUAAAUAAACCAGUAGCUGGGAAGCAAUCUUCAUGAAAAAUAAAUAACCUCUAAGGAUUAGUCUCAAGCUAACCAAGUGUGAUUAUAGAGCUGAGCCUUUAGGAUUAAUAAGGCUUUCAAAUUAUGGUAAAUAAAGAAAUUGGUGUGGCUGCGGCACCCUGGAAGUGCCAAGGGGAGAGAUGCAACUGGAUUUUUUAGAUAGAUCCAUGUUAGCCACAAAAUGGGUUUUACACAGACCUUUGGAGGUUAAAAUAGUAUGCAGAUAGGACAAUUCCUAGACUUGGAUGAUAAUAAAUUUAGAAAUGUGAAUUUUUGACAAUGAAAUUUGAAUUAAUGGUAUGUGGCUUUAUGUAGCAAGCUAAUUGGAAGGAAGACGAGCAAAACAGUCUAUAUUUUAUGCACUAUUAUUUAAGGGAAUGUAAUUAUAUUUAUUUUUAAUUAUAUUUAUUUUAUGUUCAUGUAGUAACUAAAAUUCAUAUUUAUUCCUCUUCUCUCCAUUUCAUACAAAGUGGUUAAACAUCUAUUGGAAGGCUUUAGGAAUCUGUUUUGAUGAACAUUUAAGCAUGAUUUGUUUUGGACAUAUCCAUGGUUGGUAUGUAAAUGGUAACUAAGAGCCUUGUAAUUAUCUAAAAAUUGCUUGUUCGCUGCACUCAUUUACUAUGUGACUACUAUGUGCUGAGAACAAUUUAUACAUUCUUGGUUCUGUCAUAAUUAAUCAUCACCACUCCUUCACUGCCACUAUUGCCAUCAUCACCACUCCCACCUCCACCAUCACCACUGCCACUAUCAUCACCACCAUCAUCACCACCACCACUACCAUUAUCCACCAUCACCACUAGAGUUAUUACUACCAUCACUACAACCAACAUUAUCUUCAACAUCAUAGCUAAUAGCCAGUACUUUCUACAUGUGAAGCCUAAUGUCAUUUAAUUGUCACAACAAUCCUAUGAAAAGUUAAUUUCUAUUUUACAGAUAAGGAAACAAAGUCUUAGAAAGGUUACAAAACUUGUCCAAAGCCACAUUUUUAUUUCACUUAGCAAAUCUUUCCUGGCUUUAAGAGGUAUGGGGAUAGAAAAGUUUAAUCCCUUUUUGAUUCUUGAUGUAGCAAAAAUGCUAAAUUAAUGGAGUCCUAAUUCAUUAGUCUUUACUAAAUUUUAUUCUGAAUCAUGGAAAUCAGUUUCUUUUAAGAAGGAAGAUUUCCUUUGGAAGCUUUUGUUGGAGUGGAGGAGGUGAAAAGAGUAUUGCUAAGGUAGAGAAUGGAGAAUGUUGACUCUCACAGCCCUCUGAAAAAUUAGAAUCCUAGAAUAAGACAACUUUAAAUGUGUAGACUCGGACCUUGGCUAUUCAAUGGACAAUUUUAGAUUUGCAUAGGACUAUGCCUUGAUUCCUUAGAGUAUCAUUGUGAGAUGGUUGUAUAUUCUGACUAGAAAUAACAACAUUUUCUCUUUACAGCACCUGAGAGUUUAUUCAGUGACGAUAAUACUCACAAGACCCUUUUGGGAUUUGUGGCCCAACCCACAAGUUAUAGUUCCUUCUCUGAAUAUUUCAUCCAGAUUGUGAAAAGCAGCUUCUGGCAGCCACAGUUGUACUAUGUGACCCCUACUUCCCAUGCCCAGGACUGAUUCGACCCCGUAGUAGACACCUAAAGCAAUCCCGAUCAGUCAGAGUCUUUGUUCCUGACAUUUGGGAUUAGAGCAUGGCUGAAGGUUUAAGACACAAACUUGGAAGCUGUGGGGCAGCAAUACACCUCCAUGAGGACAGAGAAGCAGGGGAAAUAAGAAUAAACCAGAAGCUCACAGAAAUGCAGGAAAUACUUCUAGAGUUCUAACACUUUUCGGGUUUCUUGUCCUAGUCCAUUCUUGACACACUUGUGCCUCACAGAAGCCAAUGGCAAGAAUGCAGUCAGAUCCUUCCAAUAAAUUCCUUUUAUUCUGUUU